GAUUGACUUUCCAUAACAGUUUAAUUUGGUUUUUCAGUUCAGUUUCAAUUGUAAAUUUAAAAAAUUUUGGUUCGAUUCGGUUAGUUUAGUGAAAAAACCAAACCAACCAAAUUCUAAUACGAUGCCCUAAGUCCAUAAACCUGUUUUCUCCAUCACUCCUACCUUCUCUACUCUCAAAUCUGGACUUCUCACCUUUGGUGAAGCCAAAAAGGAGCUUCUUCUGGUUCGUUCCUCUCUUUCAUCUCCUUCCUUUGCCACACACUCUCUUUAUCCAUAGAUCCACCGGCCACCACUCUUCUGUCCACAAACCCACACAAGUUUCUUCCUUCCUAUCUCGCAUCACUUCUGUUUCUUCCUCUUCCCCAGUCUGUCUGGGGUCAUCAUACUGAAGGCAUCUCAUCAUCUGCGUAUCAUCAUCCCAGCUUCGAUUGUUCUUCAUAUUUGCUCUGUUG
rnacentral:misc_RNA from 1 species